UUGACUUUGCGAUCAGUAUCGACGUCGUGCGUCGAGCGACUCAUAAUCGCUUGGUUCCGGGUUCGAAUCCCGGAGGCCCCA
rnacentral:tRNA from 1 species